rnacentral:ncRNA from 1 species
UAAAUGGCUUUGAAAGGGAUUAGUAAACAAAUUUUAUGUGCACAGAGAGUGACCUCACAGGCUGUAAAGGUCACCACCCCUAAAUUGUUGAACCUACCCUGGAGCUAGUUAACGAAUAGUUAACCGUCCCCCACGUUACGGGUUAAAGGGAGCAAUGAUUGCUAACUAAGGUGGUACCGCGGAUAUAACUCUUCCGUCCUUAUA